rnacentral:lncRNA from 1 species
AUCAGGAUUGUCUCCCACAAGUUCUUCAUAAUCAACAAAGUACUGACUCCCAUCAUCUUCGCCUUGGGGAUCUAGAUUGGCACCGCUCUUGAUUAGGUCCAUCAUUGCAUCAUCCAUGUUGUCAUUCGGAUUGGCCAUUUCUGCAAAUUUAAUCAAGUGUUAAAACUUAGACAAUAUUCGAUACAACAACUAAGAUAAAUUAUAUCAUAUAAAUUAUAUAAUACAAAAGAUAAAUUAUAAAAUACAAAUUAUACAUCUCAUCUCAAUAUCUAUCCCUACUAACUAAUUACAACAUAGGAUAAAUUAUAUCAUAUAAAUUAUAUAAUACAAAAGAUAAAUUGUAAAAUACAAAUUAUACAUCUCAUCUCAAUAUCUAUCCCCACAAACUAAUUACAACACAUGAUAAAUUAUAUCAUAUAAAUUAUAUAAUACAAAAGAUAAACUAUAAAAUAAAAAUUAUACUUCUCAUCUCAAUAUCUAUCCCCACAAACUAAUUACAACACAUGAUAAAUUAUAUCAUAUAAAUUAUUUAAUACAAAAGAUAAAUUAUAAAAUAGAAAUUAUACAUCUCAUCUCAAUAUCUAUCCCCACAAACUAAUUACAACACAUGAUAAAUUAUAUCAUAUAAAUUAUAUAAUACAAAAGAUAAAUUAUAAAAUAGAAAUUAUACAUCUCAUCUCAAUAUCUAUCCCACAAACUAAUUACAACACAUGAUAAAUUAUAUCAUAUAAAUUAUAUAAUACAAAAGAUAAAUUAUAAAAUAGAAAUUAUACAUCUCAUCUCAAUAUCUAUCCCCACAAACUAAUUACAACAUAGGAUAAAUUAUAUCAUAUAAAUUAUAUAAUACAAAAGAUAAAUUAUAAAAUAGAAAUUAUACAUCUCAUCUCAAUAUCUAUCCCCAC